GCCGGCGUAGCUGAGUGGCUUAGCAGCUGCCUUGUAAGCAGCAGACGGUGUUUCGAUUACAUCCGCCGGCACCA
rnacentral:tRNA from 1 species